CAGCCACCCCCUUGGCAUGCCAACAGCCUUGACCUCUUCUUAGCUGUGGCCCUUCCUGUUGCUCAAUAUAGGGCCCACCUGGUUCUCUUUAGAAGUCCCACCAAUGGGACCCCUGAGGGCCACCAGGCUGAGACCUCACUUGCUUGCUGGCUUAAAUGAACCAUGUCUACUUCUCCCCUCAUAUCUAGCCUCAGGGAAGUCCCAGAGGAAGCCCCACACCCCUCCAGAGUCAGGUCCCAUGCCCGCCUUCCCCAAGCUGCCCCCGCCAGUCUCCAGGCUGGCUAGGCCGCCAUGCCAUUUGCUGGCUCCAGGCCUGAAGGAACCAAUUUUAGUUUCCUGUGACUGAGAGGUUGUAAAUUGGACUAAUUUUGGAUGUGAUAGGAAACCAAAAUGAGGUCAGCAAGGAGGAGGGGGAGGAGGCCGCCAAUGUGCUGCCCUCCCUUUGCCUCCGCCGGCCCCCAGGGAGCUGUGGGCCUACCUGGCCAGCCAGGCCUGGGCCUGCCCCUGUGAUAGCCCUGACUCCAGGCCUGAGGCAGGCAGGUUGCUGCCCCUCCAAGACUGCAGCUGAAACCAUGUUUGCUUUCUUCUUUCUCUUUCAUUCUCUCUUUACUAUUCUCUCUCUCUCUCUCUCUCUCUCUCUCUCUCUCUCUCUCCUCUCUCUCUCUUUCUCUCAGCCCACAGGGGCAGCCUAACUGUUGUCUUUUGGUUCCCAGGGUAGGUUCAGGGGGUGAGUAAGGCUGAGGUCUGGCUGCAGUGGUGAACGUGGCUCCCAAAGGCCCUGGGACCUCCUCUCAAGUACUCCCGUGGGCACUUGACCAGGGUGCUCAGCUUCCCCGUGGUCCUGGGCCAGGGCCUGCAAACUUCCUCAGUGAAGGGCCAACUAGGAAAUACUGAGGCUUUGCCAGGCCAGCUGUCUCUCACACUGCUUGGCCCUGCUGUGGCAGCAGAAAGGCAGUUACAGACAGUCUGUAAACUCAUGCCAGUGGCUAUGUUCCAAUAAAACUUUAUUUACAAAAGCAGUGUUGAGCCGGAUGCAGCCCACAGGCUACACAGUUACCCACCCCUGCCCUAGUCGUUGGAUUGGAAGAGGGAGGGAAGGGAGGUGGAAGAGGAGGUUUGCACUCUGAAGUUCGGGGAGGAGAAGCAGCUGACCUGGAGCUGUUCAGCCCAAGCUCUGGCCCCAGUCUCUGGUGCUCUAGUGACAUCCUGCCUCUGGCCCUGCCUCUGGGAUAUACUGAAAUCUCUGGCCAGGGCACAAAGCAGGCAGGUUAUGUCAAGGGGAACCACAGACUCCUGAAGUCAGACAGUGGCGUGAGAGUGUUUACAGAUACAGCACUUCCCCUGACCUCUGUGAUGGAGGUGACUCAGGUUGUACCAUUGUUUCAAACUCCCAUCAUACAGAUGAAGAAACUGAGGCCCAGAGAGGAGACACCUUUCCCAGAAUCUCUUGUGAGUAAGUGGCAGAGUUGCUUUGAUCCCAGGUCUCUCUGACCCUACACAGCCUCUCACCUGCCAGGUCCUAUUUCCUGUCUUUACCUGUCCGGCUC
rnacentral:lncRNA from 1 species